CCUGACGCAGCGACGCCGCGUGAGGGAUGACGGCCUUCGGGUUGUAAACCUCUUUCGACAGGGACGAAGCGCAAGUGACGGUACCUGGAGAAGAAGCGCCGGCCAACUACGUGCCAGCAGCCGCGGUAAGGCGUAGGGCGCGAGCGUUGUCCGGAUUUAUUGGGCGUAAAGAGCUCGUAGGCGGCUCGUUGCGUCGGCUGUGAAAACCCGCAGCUCAACUGUGGGCUUGCAGCCGAUACGGGCGGGCUAGGAUUCGGUAGGGGAGACUGGAAUUCCUGGUGUAGCGGUGAAAUGCGCAGAUAUCAGGAGGAACACCGGUGGCGAAGGCGGGUCUCUGGGCCGAUAUCGACGCUGAGGAGCGAAAGCGUGGGGAGCGAACAGGAUUAGAUACCCUGGUAGUCCACGCUGUAAACGUUGGGCGCUAGGUGUGGGGGGCCUCUCCGGUUCUCUGUGCCGCAGCUAACGCAUUAAGCGCCCCGCCUGGGGAGUACGGCCGCAAGGCUAAAACUCAAAUGAAUUGACGG
rnacentral:rRNA from 1 species